rnacentral:tRNA from 1 species
UUAAUUAAAACCAAAAAGAGGUAUAUUACUGUUAAUAAUAUUAUUGAAUUAAAUUCUAAUUGAA